AAAAGUAUAGUUUAACUUUAAAAACAAUUUUGUAAUUUAAAUAUUACUAAAUAAAUAAUAGUGUAAUUCUAUUUGCUUUUA
rnacentral:tRNA from 1 species